rnacentral:lncRNA from 1 species
AUGACCCAAACCACCCCUACAUCGUCCGUGUUGCGUCCUAACGCAAAGCACCUUUUGUGGUUUGCAGGACUUGGACUUGCACACCAUCCCAGCUGUCCUCAAAGUCCUGAUCUGAGUACUCGUGGCCGGGGCUGGUGCAGGACCACGCAGGGCUGUGGAGGAACACACACCGGUGUCCUCGUCCCCGCACCGUGCAGACUAGCAGGACAGCACAGCUCCUUUCUGCAAGCUAAAGCUGGACCAGGCAAGGCUAUCCCAAGAGGUCAGCAGCCAGUUGGAAAACCCAGGAGCAGUUAUGGGAGCCCAUGGCUGCAUAUCGCUGCUGUGUAACAAUGUGUGUUGUUUUCUCUGUCUUACAUGUUUUAAGGAAAAAAUAAAUAAAUACUGUGGCCUGUUUUUCCUUUCCUC